GCGGCCCAUUCGUGGAAUUCCAUUUCUAAUCUAUUACAUUAACAAAAAUAGAAAAGAAAUAAAAAAAAUUAAGCUGAAUCGGGCCCAAAACGGACCCAAAACCGGGCCCAAAACUGAUCCAGCAACAGCCUCGCGCAGGCCCAUUUUCUCGCAGCAAAGCAGCCCAGAAACGCAAGGCUUGGGCCCAAUACACAGCCCAAAAUGCGGUCAAAGGCCUUGAUCCAGCAACAGGGGCGCACUCCUCUUUGUUCAGCUAGGGUUUGCGCCGCCCUAGGCGUCGCUGCUACCCCUGCCACCUGACCACACCACCACCACAUGAAACGUGCUGCGCCGUCGUCGUCUACCCACUGCUCUCCUGCCGGCGACGUCGUCAGCCAUCGCUGCUGCUCCGGUGAGCCUCCACCCGACACCAGCGUCGCAGCGCCGCACUUCCCUCUGUCGCCGCACCCUCCGUCUGCACGCGGUUGAGAUAUCGGCUGAGUAAAGAUGACACAGCACGACGCUCGUCGUUAAAUGGCAUCGCACAGACCUCUGGCAGUCGAGCCAGUAAGGAACGCCGGAGCGCCCCCAACCGCAGACGCCGAGAGCGAUCACAGCCAUAGAACAGGAGCGCAGCGCUUGAGGGUGCCUCGAAGCAGAUCUGAGCUUUGCUCUGUCACACCGAACGCAUCUGUCCUUCACCGGACGCAGUGGUGUUACGCCG
rnacentral:lncRNA from 1 species